CCAAGGAGCACAGUGCACAGCAGGAAGGAAGCACAAAUCUCGGGCGUGGGGCAGGGCAAGUGAGAGCAAGAGCCAGCGAGCCAGAGGAGGAAAGCAGGAACAAAAAGCAGAGAAUCCACUCCAGGCAGCAGGCAGGCAUGGCAAAGCAAAGCUCCUCCGGUGCGCUCGCUCUCCAGGCCCAUAGCCAACAGAUGACAUGGUAGGAUGGCUCUACGCAUGUCUAGCAUGUGCAAAGAUGUCUCUAGCAGCGUGGAUGGAUUUCUGAAAAAGGCGUUGUGCCCUGUGGUCUCCUAGAUGAGCUCCCCAUCCGAGCAUGGAAGCAUCUGUGGUCAACGUGCAAGUAGCUAUCGGAGUCUGGAAUGGCACCCCAUCUGCAUGUUUGUGUCUCUCGUCCACCAUAACAAGGAGUGCAGGAUUCGGUGAGGAAUCUGAAGGGACAG